GACGAACCGUACGAACGUUAUUCGGAAUCACUGGGCUUAAAGGGUGCGUAGGCGGCCAUGUAAGUAGGGUGUGAAAUCCCCCGGCUUAACCGGGGAACUGCGCCCUAAACUGUAUGGCUGGAGUGAGAUAGGGGUGUGUGGAACUUCCGGUGGAGCGGUGAAAUGUGUUGAUAUCGGAAGGAACGCCGGUGGCGAAAGCGACACACUGGGUCUCAACUGACGCUGAGGCACGAAAGCCAGGGGAGCGAACGGG
rnacentral:rRNA from 1 species